rnacentral:tRNA from 1 species
GGCAGGGUGGUGCAGUGGUUAGCACUAAGGAACACUCCUCGCAAGACACAGGUUUCGGGUUCGAGACCCGCCCAGCCG